UUUCGUACGUGACCUGCGGAGGAUCAUUA
rnacentral:rRNA from 1 species